rnacentral:rRNA from 1 species
GACGAACGCUGGCGGCGUGCUUAACACAUGCAAGUCGAACGGAAAGGCCCUGCUUUUGUGGGGUGCUCGAGUGGCGAACGGGUGAGUAACACGUGAGUAACCUGCCCUUGACUUUGGGAUAACUUCAGGAAACUGGGGCUAUUACCGGAUAGGAGCUCCUGCUGCAUGGUGGUGGUUGGAAAGUUUCGGCGGUUGGGGAUGGACUCGCGGCUUAUCAGCUUGUUGGUGGGGUAGUGGCUUACCAAGGCUUUGACGGGUCGCCGGCAUGAGAGGGUGAACGGCCACAUUGCGACUGAGAUACGGACCAGACUCCUACGGGAGGCAGCAGUGGGGAAUAUUGCACAAUGGGCGGAAGCCUGAUGCAGAAACGCCGCGUGCGGGAUGACCGCUUGCGGGUUGUAAACAGCUUUCGCCGGUGACGAAGCGUGAGUGACGGUAAUGAGUAAAGAAGCACCGGCUAACUACGUG